UGUGGGAGGGGGCUUGCCCCCGAUAGCGGAGUGUCAGUCGAAUAUUUAUAACUGAUACACCGCCAUCGGGGGCAAGCCCCCUCCCACA
rnacentral:misc_RNA from 1 species